AGCUCGAGCUUACCCAUGCCGGCCUGGUCGUGCCUGAUCUUAUGUGCAUUUAGAAGCCAAGCCGGCUCGGGCCUGGUUGGUACCCAGAUGGGGGAAUACAUGGUGCUCCAGCUA
rnacentral:rRNA from 1 species